rnacentral:misc_RNA from 1 species
GAUGAAGAACGUAGCGCAAUGCGAUAAGUAAUGUGAAUUGCAGAAUUCAGUGAAUCAUCGAAUCUUUGAACGCACAUUGCGCCCGUCAGUAUUCUGGCGGGCAUGCCUGUUCGAGCGUCAUUACGCCCCUCAAGUCCCCUGUGGACUUGGUGUUGGGGAUCGGCGAGGCUGGUUUUCCAGCACAGCCGUCCCUUAAAUUAAUUGGCGGUCUCGCCGUGGCCCUCCUCUGCGCAGUAGUAAAACACUCGCAACAGGAGCCCGGCGCGGUCCACUGCCGUAAAACCCCCCAACUUUUUAUAGUUGACCUCGAAUCAGGUAGGACUACCCGCUGAACUUAAGCAUAUCAAUAAGCGGAGGA